rnacentral:rRNA from 1 species
GAUGAACGCUAGCUACAGGCUUAACACAUGCAAGUCGAGGGACCGGCGCACGGGUGAGUAACACGUAUCCAACCUGCCCUUUACUCGGGGAUAGCCUUUCGAAAGAAAGAUUAAUACCCGAUAUAAUGGAUGGGGAUGCGUUCCAUUAGGUUGUUGGUGAGGGCACGGCUCGCCAAGCCUUCGAUGGAUAGGGGUUCUGAGAGGAAGGUCCACCAGAUUUGAACUGAGACACGGUCCACACUCCGACGGGAGGCAGCAGUGAGGAAUAUUUGGCACUGGGCGCUAGCCUGAACCAGCCAAGUGGAGGGAAGGAGGAAGGCUUUUGUGUCGUAAACUUCUUUUAUAUAAGAAUAUGUAUUAUAUGAAUAAGGAUCGGCUAACUCCGUGCCAGCCGCCGCGGUAAUUC